AGUGAACGCUGGCGGCAUGCUUUACACAUGCAAGUCGAACGGUAACACACUAACAGCUUGCUCUUACUGGUGGACGGUUGCGGAAGGCAGCGGAAUGUAUCCAGAUCUAGUUUUUCGUGGAGCAUAAGGUAGGCAAAUAUACCAUAUGAUCGCAUAAGGCAUACGGGGGAAAGAAAGGGAAUGUUUGACCUUGCGCGUUUGAAUCAGCCGAUGUCGGAUUAGCUAGUUGGCGGGGUAAAGGCCCACCAAGGCGACGAUCCGUAGCUGGUCUGAGAGGAUGAUCAGCCACACUGGAACUGAGACACGGCCCAGACUCCUACGGGAGGCAGCAGUGGGGAAUAUUGGACAAUGGGCGCAAGCCUGAUCCAGCCAUACCGCGUGCGUGAAGAAGGCCUUCGGGUUGUAAAGCGCUUUUGGUGGGAAAGAAAAGCUGCAGGCUAAUACCCCGCGGUAAUGACGGUACCCAAAGAAUAAGCACCGGCUAACUACGUG
rnacentral:rRNA from 1 species